CCUGUUCCCAUUCCGAACACAGAAGUUAAGCUCUUUAGCGCUGAUGGUACUUGGUGGGAAACUGCCUGGGAGAGUAGGACGUAGCCACGU
rnacentral:rRNA from 1 species